GUAGAGUGUUUUUUUCUUUUUUUGAAUAGUGUAGUGGUAGUGGUUUUGUAUAUACAUUAUAUAAAAGAGGGUAUUUUAGUAAUGUAUUAAGCUUAGGGGUAUAUAUUAAGUUUGAAAGGAUGUUUUUCAAGGGGUCUCAUACUAGGGGUAUAUAGAUAUUGUUCUCAUAUAUUUAUGUUUUUGACAAAGUUGGUAGAGAAUUUAUGGGUGGUGUUAAAACUGUUAGACUUGCUGUUGAUAAGUACAAGAUGGCUACUGGUUACAAGAUUAUUAUUCUUAAAAAUGACAAGACGCGUUUUACUGGAAAGUGCGAAGAAAAUGAUUGUGGUUGGAGGAUUCACUUUGGGCCUGUGAAUGGUGACAUUUCUCGGUUCGUGCUGAAAGAUUCUAAUGUUAUUCACAGUUAUGGUGUUGGUUUUAGGUUGAAGAGUCCUGCGGUGACAACCAAGUUAUUCAAGCAUUUGAUCGCUGACAAUAUACAGGGUGAUCCUAGUUUAAAACCCAGACAGAUCAUGUCACUUUUUAAGAAGACUUAUGGGUCCAAUAUUAAGUAUCACCAUUGCCCGUAGAGAGAAAGAAACCGUAUUUGAAGAACAGUUUGAUGAUGACGAGAAGUCGUAUAACGAUUUAACUUGGUAUGUCAAAGGCAUUGAGAAAACUAAUCCUGAUAGCUUUGGGAAUUUUUAAGUUGAUCAUGCAACCAAAAGAUUUCAGAGGAUUUUCAUUUGUUUUGGUGCUUGCAAGCAUAGCUAUAGGUAUUUCAGGCCGAUGAUUUACUUGGACGUUACUUUCCUUACUGGUAGAUUCAGGGGGUGCUUUGAUGGAUGUAACAUGUAGCAAUGGUUUUUACCCAUUUUCUUUUUUCUUGUUUCUGCUGAAAACAAAGAAAAUUGGUUUUGGUUUCUGGACAAUCUUAAAUAAGUUGUCGAUGGUCGUCCGAUUGUUUUCCUUAGUGAUCGUGGAGAAGGGAUUUUGAUGGGCAUUCCAAAAGUAUUUCCUAAUUCAUAUCACAGCUAUUGCUUUUACCACAUCAAGUGCAAUCUCCCUAUUGGAUCAGGUGAUGCGAAUUCGAAGGCCGUUAUUGAUUUGUUUGACAAAGAUGCUUACUCUUACACAACAACGAACUUUGAAGAAGCUUUGUGGGGCAUGGAUGCAAUUGGAUGUGGACAUGUUUUUAAUUAUAUCAGGACUAUUCCAAAGGAGAUAUGGGAAAAUACAUUUUUUACUAUAUGCAGAUAUAGUGCUCACUCUUCAACUCUUUCCGAUUCCUUCAACAACUGGAUUCUUGAUUUCAAAAAGUUGCCUGCUUUAGCUCUUCUCGAUGCAAUACGUUUGAAGGUUAUGAAGAAGAAUUCUGAGAGAAGGAUAGCUAGAAAAUUUCAAUAUUAGGCUCACUCCCAUAUAUGAGGCUUUACUAAAGGAAAACAUCGACAUUGGUCGUACUUGGACUGUUACUGAGUCCAUGGAAAGAUUGUACGAAGUCGCAUCUCCCCUGUCUCAUUCUGUAGAUCUAUUGCAGAAAACUUGUACAUGUCACAAGUGGCGAGUUAAUGGUUUUCCUUGUGCACAUGCUUGUGCUGCCAUUCAAGCUACGAGGGAGGACAUCUAUUCAUUUUUUGAGCCAUACUUCACCACUGAAUGGUACAACAGGACAUACCAUGAGAUCAUCUUGCCAAUCCCCAAUUAUGACAAGCCUCAGGCUUAUGAUCCUAGUGAUAGGGUUAUUGUUCCUAUUUCUCUUCCUCCACAUGGUAGACGAAGAACACAGAAUAUCAAGAAUGCUUGGGAGAAGCAAAAUAGGCCUGUGAUGUGCACAAAGUGCUUCACCCUUGGUCACCACAACAGAUCUACCCGCCCCAUGCCUUGAUGCUUUUUUCUGUGUUUGAUCUAUUCAAAAGAUUCUUUGUGUUUGGUUUUUACUUUUGGUAAUGUCUUUUGAAUUUUCUUUGGCAUGGAUAAUUAGUGCCAGUACAUGUGUACCAUUAUGUACACCUUCAUGUGCACUU